GUUUAUAUAAUUUAAGUAAAAUAUUAGACUGUGAUUCAUAGCUAUAAGAGUUAAAACCUC
rnacentral:tRNA from 1 species